UUAUCAGUUUCGUUCCACUAUAUCUCGACAGUGCUACCUCAGUCUUCUCUCAACCGCUACACCCCAUCGUGCCGCCACCGUCCCUGGCGCGCCGCUGCCGCUCUUGUUUUUCAUCGUCCAACACUUUGGCUCAAGGUUCUUGGCCGCAGAACUGAGGUCAGUGGUUCUCCAUCCUCGAUCUGUUAACGCUGAGGAAGGCCAGCGACUCCAAUUUCUCCUCCACGCCUUCCAAACGCAUCCUUGCGAGAAGGCCUCGCCUCUUCAUCCUCCUCCCCUGCACAUUGGCCCCUCACGGUGGUGGAAGAUGGGUCGAAUUUACCGAUAAAAUAGUUGCUAAGAGGGUUGCCAAUAUGUUAAAUGGUGAACAGAUAGAAGCUCUCGUGUAAGGGUCACCCUUCGGAGUGAUAGUUUUGCUAAAAACUCCAUCCAUAGCUCAUUGGUUCUGACUAAUCAUUCGGGCAAGUGAUCCAAACUUUUUCCGUUCCCCUCUGUGCACCCGGUCGUGCCACCACCGUCCCUGCCGCGCCGCUGCCACUCUUGUUUUGUGUCGCUUCGGGCAAUAGUUCGUCACCCUGUUGUCAGAGUUUAAUAGCGUUUCACCGUUCCUCUCCUCAG